rnacentral:rRNA from 1 species
GAUGAACGCUGGCGGCGUGCCUAAUACAUGCCAGUCGAGCGAACAGAUGAGGAGCUUGCUCCUCUGACGUUAGCGGCGGACGGGUGAGUAACACGUGGAUAACCUACCUAUAAGACUGGGAUAACUUCGGGAAACCGGAGCUAAUACCGGAUAAUAUAUUGAACCGCAUGGUUCAAUAGUGAAAGACGGUUUUGCUGUCACUUAUAGAUGGAUCCGCGCCGCAUUAGCUAGUUGGUAAGGUAACGGCUUACCAAGGCAACGAUGCGUAGCCGACCUGAGAGGGUGAUCGGCCACACUGGAGCUGAGACACGGUCCAGACUCCUACGGGAGGCAGCAGUAGCGAAUCUUCCGCAAUGGGCGAAAGCUUGACGGAGCAACGCCGCGUGAGUGAUGAAGGUCUUCGGAUCGUAAAACUCUGUUAUUAGGGAAGAACAAAUGUGUAAGUAACUAUGCACGUCUUGACGGUACCUAAUCAGAAAGCCACGGCUAACUACGUG